UACGUAGGGGGCAAGCGUUGUCCGGAUUUAUUGGGCGUAAAGAGCGUGUAGGCGGCUUUACAGGUCCGUUGUGAAAACUCGAGGCUCAACCUCGAGACGCCGGUGGAAACCGUAAAGCUAGAGUCCGGAAGAGGAGAGUGGAAUUCCUGGUGUAGCGGUGAAAUGCGCAGAUAUCAGGAGGAACACCCGUGGCGAAAGCGGCUCUCUGGGACGGUACUGACGCUGAGGAGCGAAAGCAUGGGGAGCAAACAGG
rnacentral:rRNA from 1 species